UAGAUAAAAAUGGUUUGCGUUCCUUGUAUAGUUAUACCUUUCCUUUUAUGGUUCUUUCACAGAUAUUUAAGACCAUUAAUGGAGAAGGUUUGUCCUUCAAUGCUAAAAUACCUACCAGGAAAUUCGAAAAAUGAAGGAGAGGAAUCAAAAGGGAAGUGUCCACUGAAGAAGACAGAUGAUACACAAAUUAAUGAGAAUUCUACAGCCAGUAAGAGUGAAGUAACAGCAGGAGAUGGGGGAACAAAGAAAACAAACUGAUAUUUAUUUUGUACUUUAUAGAAUUAUCAAUCAGAAUACAUUGUCAGCUAAAAUAUGUUUCACCUUUAUAUGUCAUCUAUAAUUUUUUCGUAUUUUUACUAAUUGAACUUCAUGGUUGUAAUCUAAAGUCAAAUAUAACAUGAAUGGAGCGAAAGAUAAAAAUGAUUUGUUUCCUUCUGACAGGUUAAAAAAAAAAACUCUAUUGAUUGUAAUUUUUUAUAUUAAGUUAUUGUGAUGUGUACAUACAGGUGUAUUUUUGAUUUUUAUGAUAAAAAGUUUUUGAUCAUGCUGAAGUGAGUUGGUGUUUACGCUGAAGUGCGAUGGAUUACAUACAUUGUAUUUUCAAUGUUCCUCAUGUUUCAAUGUCGAUGUGUUUGUUAGAAGCAGCUUUUCAGGUUUUUUAGUAAAUCACAGAGAGUAUCAUGAUAAAUAGUCAUUACAUUUCGUAUCUUAACUGAAACGUUGUUGUUUACUUUGUAAAUUUGCUUCGACAAAAAUACUUCCAACGUUCAUACAAGCCUUAAGAAAUUGACCAUUAUAGACACUGUAUGCAAGGUUUAUUGUCCAUUCAAACCAGUACUAAUUUUAAAUACUGAAAAACUAGGCAGCUAUAAGAAAUUCAAAUACUACUUGCUUAGUCACAACGACAUAAAAUAAGCAGCAAAUAUAUUUGGCUGAUGUGAAUGAGAGCACAGAAUAAGAGAAAACUUAGUAUUUUGUUACUGCAACUGGAGGAAAUAUGAAAUUCUUUGUCUUGACACAAGAUAUAUCUUUUUAUAUUCGCUCUAUCAUGAUGGUUCCAUCUCAGAUAACUAUCUCAAACACUUCGUCCAUGUUAUAAGUUAAAAUGGAAGAACAUCUCGCUUCAUCAUGACCAUCGCGCUUCAGCAUCCCCAUCACACCUACAAGUCCUACAUAUACAAAUGUAUUACACCCAAGUAUUUUUUAGGAUGGAAUCCUAAUUUUGUGGUUUCAGGGGAAUAUAUUUAUAAUUGUUUGUUUUUUGUUGUUAUUUUUUUGUGAUUUCAGACUUUGUCUGUAACAAACAUGUUAGAAUUUCCUGUUGUAAUAAAUUGUGUAUUUCCAAUAUGAGAAGAAAUCAAUGAAAAUAUCUACCCAAUGAUUCAAACUAAACUUCACAACUGUGUACUGUAUUUAUUUCCAUAUAUUUCCUAGUAUUAAUUGAAAUCCAGUGUGAGCAUGAAAAUAUUAAGGAAUGAAUUGGAAGAGAUAAGUUUUAACAUAUUUAAUUGUCUGAGAAAAAUGGAUUGGGCACAUAUUAUACAAUUGAAAAUUGCUGUUUCCCUCUCACAACUGAUUCUGUUGAGGGUCUUAUUUAAUGUGUAUUAUAUAUACAGACUGGAUCUGGGAAAUGUAAUAAACUUUUUUUGUGAAUAUGGAACACUGUUGAAUUUGUUAUAAUAAAUAUUUUCUGUUACCAA